rnacentral:rRNA from 1 species
ACGGAGCUGAAGACUUUGGGUCACCUCCCACCCAUGUUUAUUUUACCUUGUUGCUUCGGCGGGCCCGCCUUAACUGGCCGCCGGGGGGCUUACGCCCCCGGGCCCGCGCCCGCCGAAGACACCCUCGAACUCUGUCUGAAGAUUGUAGUCUGAGUGAAAAUAUAAAUUAUUUAAAACUUUCAACAACGGAUCUCUUGGUUCCGGCAUCGAUGAAGAACGCAGCGAAAUGCGAUACGUAAUGUGAAUUGCAAAUUCAGUGAAUCAUCGAGUCUUUGAACGCACAUUGCGCCCCCUGGUAUUCCGGGGGGCAUGCCUGUCCGAGCGUCAUUGCUGCCCUCAAGCCCGGCUUGUGUGUUGGGCCCCGUCCUCCGAUUCCGGGGGACGGGCCCAAAAGGCAGCGGCGGCACCGCGUCCGGUCCUCGAGCGUAUGGGGCUUUGUCACCCGCUCUGUAGGCCCGGCCGGCGCUUGCCGAUCAACCCAAAUUUUUAUCCAGGUUGACCUCGGAUCAGGUAGGGAUACCCGCUGA